rnacentral:rRNA from 1 species
AGAAUCAACGCUGGCGGCGUGCCUAACACAUGCAAGUCGAACGCGAAAGCCCCGCAAGGGGCAAGUAGAGUGGCAAACGGGUGAGUAACACGUGGGUGACCUGCCUUCGAGCGGGGGAUAACGUCCCGAAAGGGACGCUAAUACCGCAUAACAUCCUGCCUUUGAAGAGGUGGAGAUCAAAGCUGGGGAUCGCAAGACCCGGCACUUGAAGAGGGGCCCGCGUCUGAUUAGCUAGUUGGUGGGGUAAUGGCCUACCAAGGCAACGAUCAGUA